rnacentral:piRNA from 1 species
UGGUGGAGAGAUACCUGAUUGAAAUUGC